GGAACUUUGACUCCCAUCAACCUGAACCACCACUGGACCCCAGGGUCCAGUUUCCCUGGGGUCCAGUGAUGGUUCAGGUUGAUGGCAGUCGUGUG